rnacentral:rRNA from 1 species
UACGAAGGGUGCAAGCGUUAUUCGGAAUUACUGGGCGUAAAGGGCGCGUAGGCGGUUCGUUAAGUCUGUCGUGAAAUCCCCGGGCUCAACCUGGGAAUGGCGAUGGAUACUGGCGAGCUAGAGUGUGUCAGAGGAUGGUGGAAUUCCCGGUGUAGCGGUGAAAUGCGUAGAGAUCGGGAGGAACAUCAGUGGCGAAGGCGGCCAUCUGGGACAACACUGACGCUGAAGCACGAAAGCGUGGGGAGCAAACAGG